CCUACGGGUGGCAGCAGUGGGGAAUACUGCACAAUGGGCGCAAGCCUGAUGCAGCCAUGCCGCGUGUGUGAAGAAGGCCUUCGGGUUGUAAAGCACUUUCAGCGUGGAGGAAGGCGUUAAGGUUAAUAACCUUGUCGAUUGACGUUACCCGCAGAAGAAGCACCGGCUAACUCCGUGCCAGCAGCCGCGGUAAUACGGAGGGUGCAAGCGUUAAUCGGAAUUACUGGGCGUAAAGCGCACGCAGGCGGUCUGUCAAGUCGGAUGUGAAAUCCCCGGGCUCAACCUGGGAACUGCAUUCGAAACUGGCAGGCUAGAGUCUUGUAGAGGGGGGUAGAAUUCCAGGUGUAGCGGUGAAAUGCGUAGAGAUCUGGAGGAAUACCGGUGGCGAAGGCGGCCCCCUGGACAAAGACUGACGCUCAGGUGCGAAAGCGUGGGGAGCAAACAGGAUAGAUACCCGUGUAGUC
rnacentral:rRNA from 1 species